rnacentral:rRNA from 1 species
AGUGAACGCUGGCGGUAGGCCUAACACAUGCAAGUCGAACGGCAGCACAGUAAGAGCUUGCUCUUACGGGUGGCGAGUGGCGGACGGGUGAGGAAUACAUCGGAAUCUACUUUUUCGCGGGGGAUAACGUAGGGAAACUUACGCUAAUACCGCAUACGACCUACGGGUGAAAGCAGGGGAUCUUCGGACCUUGCGCGAUUGAAUGAGCCGAUGUCGGAUUAGCUAGUUGGCGGGGUAAAGGCCCACCAAGGCGACGAUCCGUAGCCGGUCUGAGAGGAUGAUCAGCCACACUGGAACUGAGACACGGUCCAGACUCCUACGGGAGGCAGCAGUGGGGAAUAGUGGACAAUGGGCGCAAGCCUGAUCCAGCCAUACCGCGUGGGUGAAGAAGGCCUUCGGGUUGUAAAGCCCUUUUGUUGGGAAAGAAAAGCAGCAGGUUAAUACCCCGCUGUUCUGACGGUACCCAAAGAAUAAGCACCGGCUAACUUCGUG